rnacentral:rRNA from 1 species
AGUGAACGCUGGCGGUAGGCCUAACACAUGCAAGUCGAACGAGCGGCGGACGGGUGAGGAAUACAUCGGAAUCUACGCUGUCGUGGGGGAUAACGUAGGGAAACUUACGCUAACACCGCAUACGACUGAAUGAGCCGAUGUCGGAUUAGCUAGUUGGCGGGGUAAAGGCACACCAAGGCGACGAUCCGUAGCUGGUCGGAGAGGAUGAUCAGCCACACUGGAACUGAGAAUCGGCCCAGACUCCUACGGGAGGCAGCAGUGGGGAAUAUUGGACAAUGGGCGCAAGCCUGAUCCAGCCAUGCCGCGUGGGUGAAGCAGGCCUUCGGGUUGUAAAGCCCUUUUGUUAGGAAAGCGGUACCCAAAGAAUAAGCACCGGCUAACUUCGUGCCAGCAGCCGCGGUAAUAC